AGGUCGUGACUUGUGCCCGUUUGCUGAAUUUUAAUGGUCAAAUUGCACUUGUCCCGGCCUGC
rnacentral:pre_miRNA from 1 species